rnacentral:lncRNA from 1 species
CCAUUUGCAUGAAAUAUCAUUUUCUUUUUUAAAUUUUUUUUUGAGAGAGAGAGAGAGAGAAUUUUAAUAUUUAUUUUUUAGUUUUUGGUGGACACAACAUCUUUGUUUGUAUGUGGUGCUGAGGAUUGAACCCGGGCUGCACGCAUGGAGGCGAGCGCGCUACCACUUGAGCCACAUCCCCAGCCCAAAAUAUCUUUUUCUAUCUCUGUUUUCAGUCUAUGCAUGCUAAAGGUAAAGUGAGCUUCUUGUAAGGAGCAUAUAUGUGGUUCUUGUUUUUAAAUCCAUUCGCCACUCUAUGCUUUUUGAUUGCAGAAUUUAAUCAAUAGACAUUUUGGUUGUUUAGUUUGAAUUUAAUCAAUUUGCAUUCAAGGUAUUUAUUGAUAUGUAGGGAUUUACAACUGCCAUUUUGUUAAUUGUUUUCUGGUUGUUUUGUAACUCCUUUGAUCCUCUCUGUCUUGCUGUCUUCCUUUGUGAUUAGAUAAUUUUAUCUAGUGGUAUGCUUUUUUUACUUUUUUAAAAAUAUCUACCAUAGGUUUUCACUUUGUGGUUUUCUUGAAGCUUACAUAAAACAUAUUACAGUUAUUAGCAGACUAUUUAAGCUCUUAACAACUUCAAUCUCAUACAAAAAUUUUAAAUUUUGCCUCGUGCAUUUUGUGUUUGAUAUUAAAAUUUAUAUAUUUUAUAUUGGCUAUCCCUCAAUGAACUAUCACAGCUAUAAUUAGAAUAAUUUUUUCUUUACCUUCAUACUAACUAUAUAAAUAACUUAUAUAACACCUUUACAGUAUUAGAGUUCUAUAGAUUUGAUUAUGUACUAGCUUUUCUACUUUAUAAACAACAGAGGUUUCCUUAGCUUAUAGUUCUAGAGGCUAAAAAGUCCAAGUGGCACCGUUAUCUGAUCAGGAGCUGGUGAAGACCUUAUUGCUGGGAGACCAGGGAGAAGGUAUGAAAUGGCAAGACAAAGUAGAUACUCAGGUAUCUUCUUAUCUUCUAAUAAAACCAUAGUCCUGUUGGACUAGGGUCCUACCUUAUGGCCCAAUUUAACAUUAAUUGCCUCCCAAAAGUCCCACCUCCAAAUGCCAUGGUUGGAUCAAGUUUCUACCCAUGUAAUACCUCAUAAUGGGAUUAAAUUUCAACAUGAGUUUAGUGGGAACAUUGAAACCAUAGCAAACUCCCUCAACUUUUAUUUUUCUGGGAAAGUAGUGAUCUCUUCUUCAUUUCUGAAGGGUACAUUUUCUGAGCAUUUUUCAUUGGUAGGGUUUUUUGUUUGUAUUUUAUUUUUGUUUGUUUUUGUUUUGCUUUCAGCACUUUGGAUAUUAUACCUGGAUAUUUAUCUUCCCCUGGAU